GAUGAACGCUGGCGGCGUGCCUAAUACAUGCAAGUCGAGCGAACGGACGAGGAGCUUGCUCCUCUGAAGUUAGCGGCGGACGGGUGAGUAACACGUGGAUAACCUACCUAUAAGACUGGGAUAACUUCGGGAAACCGGAGCUAAUACCGGAUAAUAUAUUGAACCGCAUGGUUCAAUAGUGAAAGACGGUUUUGCUGUCACUUAUAGAUGGAUCCGCGCCGCAUUAGCUAGUUGGUAAGGUAACGGCUUACCAAGGCAACGAUGCGUAGCCGACCUGAGAGGGUGAUCGGCCACACUGGAACUGAGACACGGUCCAGACUCCUACGGGAGGCAGCAGUAGGGAAUCUUCCGCAAAGGGCGAAAGCCUGACGGAGCAACGCCGCGUGAGUGAUGAAGGUCUUCGGAUCGUAAAACUCUGUUAUUAGGGAAGAACAAAUGUGUAAGUAACUCUGCACGUCUUGACGGUACCUAAUCAGAAAGCCACGGCUAACUACGUG
rnacentral:rRNA from 1 species